rnacentral:rRNA from 1 species
GAUGAACGCUAGCGGCAGGCCUAACACAUGCAAGUCGAGGGGCAGCAUAAGAGUAGCUUGCUACUCUGGUGGCGACCGGCGCACGGGUGAGUAACGCGUAUGCAACCUACCCUAUACUGGGGAAUAACCAGGAGAAAUUCUGACUAAUACCCCAUAGUAAUAUACUUUCGCAUGUUAGUAUGUUUAAAGGUUACGGUAUAGGAUGGGCAUGCGUCCCAUUAGCUAGUUGGUGUGGUAACGGCACACCAAGGCUACGAUGGGUAGGGGGCCUGAGAGGGUGAUCCCCCACACUGGUACUGAGACACGGACCAGACUCCUACGGGAGGCAGCAGUGAGGAAUAUUGGUCAAUGGGCGCAAGCCUGAACCAGCCAUGCCGCGUGCAGGAAGACGGUCCUAUGGAUUGUAAACUGCUUUUAUUCGGGAAUAAACCUCUUUACGUGUAGAGAGCUGAAGGUACCGAAAGAAUAAGCACCGGCUAACUCCGUGCCAGCAGCCGUACGG